ensembl:lncRNA
CCUCAACAGGUACCUCAACAAAUACAGGGGAUUGGUGAUAAGACCAUAUCCUCAACAGGUACCUCAACAAAUACAGGGGAUUGGUGAUAAGACCAUAUCCUCAACAGGUACCUCAACAAAUACAGGGGAUUGGUGAUAAGACCACAUCCUCAACAGGUACCUCAACAAAUACAGGGGAUUGGUGAUAAGACCACAGAGGACAGAGGUCACAAGGUGAAAGGGGGGAGGGUGGUACAUAGCAGGAAGGAAGGGGUGACAACCACCACCCACAUGGAGAUUCCUUCUGUCAUGUAUGUUAGUGUCUUCUGAGUGCUGAAUUUAAAGGAACAGGUUCCAGGGUUGUCUUCCAAGCACGUGGAUGGCAGGUUAAAGUGUGCAGGUGUCAAAUGGCCAUGUAUCCAUUGUGGCCAUAGGCUUGUCAAGUGUUUCACUUUAGUCUCAGUGUAUGUAUCCCUGGGGAGGGUGGACAGUCCAUCACCUUGACAUGAGCAUACAGCUCAAGGAGGCCCAGAAAACCCCAGGACACACGGAAACUCCGGGGAGGCGCUGGUGGGGGUGUGGGGGUGUUAGCUGAUGUGCCUCCCCCCCCCCCCCCCCUCCUCAUUCGACAGCGAGAGAACCUCCUCCUCUGCAUGGACGUCGGAUGUUACCUUUGGAUUCCGAAUUCAUGACAGUGUGCGCAAAACAACAAGAAUCUCCUAAUGCUGCUUGAUUUCUACCUUUUUUAUCUGUUUUUUUAUUUUGUAAUACAUGAUAAUGAUAAAGGAAAAUAUACAUUAAAGAUUUGAAUGCUCCAAAAUGAUCAA